rnacentral:rRNA from 1 species
UACGAAGGGGGCUAGCGUUGUUCGGAUUUACUGGGCGUAAAGCGCGCGUAGGCGGGUCGCUAAGUCAGAGGUGAAAUCCCAAGGCUUAACCUUGGAACUGCCUUUGAUACUGGCAACCUGGAGAUCGGGAGAGGUUGGUGGAAUUCCGAGUGUAGAGGUGAAAUUCGUAGAUAUUCGGAGGAACACCAGAAGCGAAGGCGGCCAACUGGCCCGAUACUGACGCUGAGGUGGCGAAAAGCGUGGGGAGCAAACAGGGAUUAGAAACCCGGGG